AAUAGUCCAAUUCAAACGUUCAACACUUACCCCAACGCUCUGAACGAUUCGCCUAAGAUUCCACAAGAGUAGAACCCAUUUCUUCCCGAUUGGAUGCUGCCAAAACUUAACAUCAACUAACGGAAAUAAAAGAAAAGCAUUGAUUUGAACAUUUUAACAAAAAGAUUUCCUCAACCUACGCUAAAACACCCCUUACACUUACCAAACCGCGUAAAUCACUAAAGAAUUGGAAAAAUCGAGAUUAAUUGAUAGAAUUUCGAUAGGAUUUCAGAAGCAAGGAACAGAAAGAAUUUCGCCAGUCACAGAAAAGAACGUCCAAAGAUAUGAAAGAAAAUUUUGGGAAAAAUAAAAAUAAAAAUAAAAAUAGAAAAUAAAAUAAAAUCUAUUUUCAAAUCCCACAAUCAUCCUAACUCCCCACUAUUUCACAUCUAACUACCCUAGAAACCCAACUCCACCGAAGCACUGACACACAACCGAGCAAAAAUAACAUUCUCACUUGCUUAGGGAUUCGAAUACAGGACCUUCCAUAUAUUAACUCCCUUACCACUCAAACCAGUAGACUCAUUCUAAUAUAAGUUAAUAGACAAUUUUAUGUAAGCCC
rnacentral:lncRNA from 1 species